CAAGUUGUUGAACCAUCAAUGUUGUUGCAACUUGUUGACAAUCAUGUUAACAAGUUGCAACAACAUUGAUGGUUCAACAACUUG